UUUGCCAAACGCGUAGAGUUUAUCUACGUUGGCCUAGGGACGUCGUUCAGCAACUUCAUCAUGUCUAUAAAGCCGUUUUUUUUUUCCUCCCUCAACGCUUGCCUAACUCCCAACUCCUGAGAUGCGCGAUAGGUUUGGGCCGCUUGUGCCAAAGCUCCGUUCAUCGCCGACUCCGCCUUUGUAUCCCUUUCCCGGUUCAGCUUUUGCAGGCUCUCCUGCUCCGGAUCACGAGGUUGCUCCUGCGCCUCGACUAUUGCUUUGAAAUCGAGGACCCUGGGCGACCGGUGUACCAGAUCCGCCGGUUGAUCCCUAAUUUGAUCCACCGCACACCGCCUAUCGGCGUUUUGGAUUUGGACCUGGGGAGAUGGAACUGGCCUCGCCGGUGGGCUUCCGACCCAACUCGUCCUGCGCUUUCACCAAAGCCCCUAUUCUUCCGUCGUCAACUGAACUAGCUAUCCACAAUCGAUAUGCAGCAUGUGGGGUUGACAUGGGACACGAUUACGCAAUUAAGUAUAUACAUAUACCGAUAACAAAUUAGAAGUACAAGACGGGGAGAAAAUCCCAAGAGCCAACAUCAUUUAAAUAAAAAAUACCAAAAAAAAACCUUUAAAACUACUA